GACGAACCGUGCGAACGUUAUUCGGAAUCACUGGGCUUAAAGCGCGUGUAGGCGGGACGGCACGUCGGUCGCUGAAAUCCCCCGGCUUAACCGGGGAACUGGCGUCGAUACGACCGUCCUGGAGGGGCGUAGGGGGACCUGGAACUUCCGGUGGAGCGGUGAAAUGCGUUGAGAUCGGAAGGAACGCCCGUGGCGAAAGCGAGGUCCUGGACCCUUUCUGACGCUGAGACGCGAAAGCCAGGGGAGCGAACGGG
rnacentral:rRNA from 1 species